AAUGCUGACAUAAGUAACGAUAAAGCGGGUGAAAAGCCCGCUCGCCGGAAGACCAAGGGUUCCUGUCCAACGUUAAUCGGGGCAGGGUGAGUCGACCCCUAAGGCGAGGCCGAAAGGCGUAGUCGAUGGGAAACAGGUUAAUAUUCCUGUACUUGGUGUUACUGCGAAGGGGGGACGGAGAAGGCUAUGUUGGCCGGGCGACGGUUGUCCCGGUUUAAGCGUGUAGGCUGGUUUUCCAGGCAAAUCCGGAAAACCAAGGCUGAGGCGUGAUGACGAGGCACUACGGUGCUGAAGCGACAAAUGCCCUGCUUCCAGGAAAAGCCUCUAAGCAUCAGGUAACAUCAAAUCGUACCCCAAACCGACACAGGUGGUCAGGUAGAGAAUACCAAGGCGCUUGAGAGAACUCGGGUGAAGGAACUAGGCAAAAUGGUGCCGUAACUUCGGGAGAAGGCACGCUGAUAUGUAGGUGAAGCGACUUGCUCGUGGAGCUGAAAUCAGUCGAAGAUACCAGCUGGCUGCAACUGUUUAUUAAAAACACAGCACUGUGCAAACACGAAAGUGGACGUAUACGGUGUGACGCCUGCCCGGUGCCGGAAGGUUAAUUGAUGGGGUUAGCGGUAACGCGAAGCUCUUGAUCGAAGCCCCGGUAAACGGCGGCCGUAACUAUAACGGUCCUAAGGUAGCGAAAUUCCUUGUCGGGUAAGUUCCGACCUGCACGAAUGGCGUAAUGAUGGCCAGGCUGUCUCCACCCGAGACUCAGUGAAAUUGAACUCGCUGUGAAGAUGCAGUGUACCCGCGGCAAGACGGAAAGACCCCGUGAACCUUUACUAUAGCUUGACACUGAACAUUGAGCCUUGAUGUGUAGGAUAGGUGGGAGGCUUUGAAGUGUGGACGCCAGUCUGCAUGGAGCCGACCUUGAAAUACCACCCUUUAAUGUUUGAUGUUCUAACGUUGGCCCGUAAUCCGGGUUGCGGACAGUGUCUGGUGGGUAGUUUGACUGGGGCGGUCUCCUCCUAAAGAGUAACGGAGGAGCACGAAGGUUGGCUAAUCCUGGUCGGACAUCAGGAGGUUAGUGCAAUGGCAUAAGCCAGCUUGACUGCGAGCGUGACGGCGCGAGCAGGUGCGAAAGCAGGUCAUAGUGAUCCGGUGGUUCUGAAUGGAAGGGCCAUCGCUCAACGGAUAAAAGGUACUCCGGGGAUAACAGGCUGAUACCGCCCAAGAGUUCAUAUCGACGGCGGUGUUUGGCACCUCGAUGUCGGCUCAUCACAUCCUGGGGCUGAAGUAGGUCCCAAGGGUAUGGCUGUUCGCCAUUUAAAGUGGUACGCGAGCUGGGUUUAGAACGUCGUGAGACAGUUCGGUCCCUAUCUGCCGUGGGCGCUGGAGAACUGAGGGGGGCUGCUCCUAGUACGAGAGGACCGGAGUGGACGCAUCACUGGUGUUCGGGUUGUCAUGCCAAUGGCACUGCCCGGUAGCUAAAUGCGGAAGAGAUAAGUGCUGAAAGCAUCUAAGCACGAAACUUGC
rnacentral:rRNA from 1 species